rnacentral:lncRNA from 10 species
UGUAGUCAUUACCUUCAAGGAACCUAAAUCCUGGUGUCUUUAUGGUUAUGGGUGGCAUAUAAUAUACAGACACAGUGAAGGAGUGAGAUGUGAAGGUGCUCUGUCAUUGCCUCAGUCAAGACUUUCAUGGUACAUUGGAAGAAAGAGAAGCGUGAACAAAUUGCAUGAUACUUGAGGUCAUGCUGUGUACCUGUAUUGAACAAGAAUAAGGGAAGAAAGCUGGGAACCUGGAUCUCCCAUAUAUUGGAAGUUUUGUAAAAACCUUGAGGGUCCCUUCCACUACAUAUGGGGAUUAUGGGAACUGCAAUUCAAGAUGAGAUUUGAGUGAGGACACAGCCAAACCACAUGGUUUUAGAACAUUGACGAAGAGAGAAGACAACCCACUUUGCCAUAUAUGCCCAUGAAGAUCUGGCAAGAGUUAGCAUGCAGGUCUACAUUGUGACAAUCCAUGAGAGCUAAGGACUGGCUGUCUCUUGGGACAAAUAGGCUUUCUUGAGUCUGGAUGUCCGCUCUGCUUGUCUUACCGCAUGAGAGAGUGCAGAUGUUCCUGAAAGCAUCUUUGCGUGGAUUUGCUUGAAGCGAGAUGUGAGAGAAGGGGCAAAGCUCGAAGGGAGCUGCUAGAGAGAGAGGAAAGCAGCUGGACAGGGCUUUCCUGAUGACUGAAAUCUUAUUGUGGAUAAUGGAGAUCAGGUCCUGUGGUGGUGGAUCUAAUGGAAGGAUCCUAGGUCUCUGAAUCACAACGUGGAAGAAAAUCAGUCACCACCCCUAGCUGGAACACCAACAUUUCAAAUAAGUGAAAAAUAAACUCUUAUUAUGUCAAGCCACUGCAAUUUUGGGGUUUGUCUUAGUGUUAGUGUCACCUACAUUUAUGCAAUA